UUCAAAGCAUUCUUGCUGGCUGAAACUAUAGUGAUGCAGGCAUGCUAGAUGACUUAUUGGAAUCCAUAGUUGAUGGACAGAUUCUCCACCCAACCAAGGGAGAGGGUAUGUGGAAGUCAUAUUUUGUUUUUGUUCUUUGUUCAUAAUUUGACCAAUGACAUGCAAGUUUGGUCAUAACUUGACCAAUGACAUACACGCUGGUUAUAAUUUGACCAAUGACAUACAAGUUUGGUCAUAACUUGACCAAUGACCUACAAGUUUGGUCAUAAUUUGACCAAUCACCUACAAGUUUAUCUCUUUAGAUAAUGACCCUUACCAAACAUCGGAUUCUCCUCUCAUGUCACAUCACCAACAUCAACAACUGCAAGAUUAAAUCAUCAACCCAUUUCAAGUAAACAUAUUAAUUGGUCAGUCACAUCAAUGUUGCUCUGAACAACAACGGAUAGAUCCAAUGCAAGAAGAUAUUGAUCAUGUUAUCUUACAUGUCCUACAUAUUCCUUCCUAUUUGUGGUACAAAUGUCACAUUUGAUAGUGAUGUAUGCACACGAUAUUGGUGUUUGUGAUGUAGAAAUCAUGUGGUUGUCAAGGUUCCACAAAAGUCUACUGUGAUUUUGGAUUUUAAGAAAUAUAGUUCAUUGCUAUAUGGUCCCACAUUAUUUUAAUUCAAUAAUUUAUUGCCAUCCGUGGGAUAAAGCUGAAAUUAAAUCAGAAUUUUAAAUACAUAAUGUACAGGAUACUUGAACUUUUUUGAGUAAUUGAAUUAAAGAAAUUAUUUGUCAUAAUAAGAAUUUUAGAAUAGAAUAUUGAAUGUAGCCAAGAAUUGUGUAUUAAAAUAUGAAUGUAGACAA